rnacentral:rRNA from 1 species
CUACUUGCGAUCGAUGUCCGAAUUGUGUACGUUCAGCUCCCCGUCGUACCAGAAUCGAACGAUUCCGGCUACCGCUGGCCGCGUGCCCACUCAUUGUGCAUAGGUUGGACGGCAGAUGAGAACCUGUCGGAAGACUUUCCUUCUAAUUAUGUUCUACCGUAGUACUCAGGCGUACAAGUGUACUAAUUUCCAUAAGGCCAUCUGCUACCCCUACGCAAGGUAAUCUAUCAUCCGCCCCAUUGCCGGGUGGAUCAGAAGCUACCUAUCCCAAGACUCUCCUUCAGGGGGUGUAACCUUGACUCUGUGCCAGGUUUGAGAUGCCCUCCGUCGUCACUCCUUAUAACCAGUUACCCGCUCCGGACUUGGUCGGUUCAUCGCACUUCCUACUGACGGGAUACCCAACAUUUGAAGAAAAUAUUUCCUUAUUUCAGCCCAUACAUAUGGGCAAACGUACAUGAAAUACUUAUUCCUAGCCGAUUGAGGCACGGUCGUCGGCGCCAUUAUGCCUCCUAGGCUCGCAAUAGGCCUAAAUAACCCAAAUUUCCCUCGCAUCUACCUACAAAUUCAGUCAACACUUUCAAACGCCGAGUUGGCAUUUUAACGUCAACUAUGACCUAUAGAACUCACGUCAACUCCGUCCGCCUUAAGCACCACAUCGCCACUUUACGAAUCUAUAGUGCUUCUUGAGGCUAACGCUUCCGUCGGACGAUUCGACGUUGACUGUAACUCCGAGCUUUCACACCCAUAGUUUGUCCUAAUCUAUGGGACCAUCAGGUGUGCCAUUUGCUACUUAUGAGCGACAAACGCUAUAUGACGUUCGCCGGUUCGCUUUCGCAAUUCAUAAGGUGGACCCCUCAUGCGGCCGUUGCCACUUUGAGUUUCCUUAACUGCCCCCGGGCGUGUUCGCCUCCUUGUACACCAAAUUAAGCUACUAUGCGCUCCUUGGAAUGGGCCCGAAUUUAACGUCUACUUAAUGCCACUUUCGGCAUUCGGCGUUCCGUAGACACUUCCACGACGUACCAACAGCAGUCGAGCACGGCACUCCACAGCCGAAUUCACGGUAUUGCUCGCGUUGGGAACAACAGUCAAUGAUUGUCCAAGGCGACUCCUGAGACUGUUCUGACGGUAGCAUUCUACACUCCUUCCACCCCUACUGCAGUUUAGUCGUGCCGGGAAUGCAGGCCCCGAUGUGUGCACAAUGUUACCCCCCAUGUCUCCCGGCGAUGGUGCGCUCACUACGGUUAGGGGUUUUGGAGAGAGUCAAGCCUGACCUCAGACGUUGGGCUGAGGUGCUUCGACCUAAGCGAUCAUUAGCGCGUAGUCGGUGCCGCGCCACUUAUGCAAGGGCCCGGAACAUGUGUGGCGGGCAGUUCGGUACCCUCGGCCCCCCAUGGACUUCACGCAUUGGCGCUCCUCGCGGGAUCCCAUUUUGACCACUGACCCCGAUUCAGCAUUGU